rnacentral:lncRNA from 1 species
CUCCAGAAAUUUGUAAGUCAUCCAGCUAUUUUAAAUUUAUUUUAUAUUGAUUUUUAAUGCUGACCCCUUUGAAUAUUUCAGCCUUACCUUAGUUAUUGUAUAUGUAACUUUCAAUCAUUUUUAUAAGAAACAAGUUCAUUUGUAAAAAUGACAGAUCAAAAUGAAGGAAAAUUUUACCGGAAAUCCCUUUUCUUAGAGAUAAGAUUUUAUUUUUUGAUACACAGUUUUCAGGUACUUUUUGCUUCCGAAGGAGGUUAUUAGUGAGGUAAACUUUGGAAAACUGCCUUUCACUCAUCGUUUCCUGGAAAGCCUGUCAAUUCAAGUCCUUGAACCCGCUUGCUCUCCUGCCCGUGCCUGCGUGGCCUGUUUCCGCGUGGCCAGGUCCUCGAUGUCCCCCCGAAGCGAGAGCUGCCCAGGGCUGCACACUCUUCGUGCCAGGCGCCUGCUCGUGCAGAAGGUGGAAAAGAACGAAGGCCACAGCGUGGACCAGAGGAGGCCACCGAGGCAGGGCCCGGAGCGGCGUGGAGUCUCGGGGCAGCGCAGACCCCACAACGCGGGUUCCUGGGGGCGGCCGUGGUCUGGAUAGCUCUGACACCCCCAAACAGCCACAGACUGAUUCCCAGGAAAGGCCCCGGUUUCUAGGAUUCCUUCCAGGGGCAAAGAGCGUGGACCAGCUGAGACAGAGGCCGGUUUACAUGAACAUUUACCCUGAGUUUGACUCAGCGACGGGACAACCAACGAGCGGGGUCAGCAGGAACCCAGGCCCUGCCCGCAGGGUCUGCGCAGAGCUGCCUUUUAGGACUGAGCGUGUCAAGUUCUCCCUGACGUUUACACCCGCGUCCUACCCCAGACGGUCCUCCUUGGAGCCGUUCACUUACUCGGCAGUCGAUGAAGAUUUCUGAACCCCGGCUACGCUUUCUGUUCAAUGUUUCCUUGGGCACCAAACUCAGGUCCAUACUCCAGAAACGAUCCACAGUGCGUGUCUCGGCACUGGUGCUUGGCCAGCAAGCAGCUUAUCGCGUCUAGACCUUACUUUUAUCCUGAGUAUAAUAACAAUAAAGUCAAGGUAUCCUUGUCUAAGGCCUCUCCGCCUAAAUACCUGCCUCCUCAACCCUUGACCCUGGCCCUUUGCUGUGUCUGAUGUCCUGUGCCCAGGCUCGGGACAGGCUCCCACGCCAGCAGACGCCCGGAGCCUCACGCGACCACCAGCCGCACUCGAGCCCCCACAGAAAGGCCAGGGGCCCUGAGGCCGCGGCAGGAGCGGGUGCACCCCCAGCCCCCAGUCCCCGCCCUCCUCGGGCCCGGGGGAAACACACAGAAACACAGACUCUCAGAAAGCAGGGCUACGUGUGACCGGACGAAGAGAUUGGAAGGAUCAGUCGCUACAGAGAUGGGGC